UAAGGAAUCUUCCACAAUGGGCGAAAGCCUGAUGGAGCAACGCCGCGUGCAGGAUGAAGGCCCUCGGGUCGUAAACUGCUUUUAUGAGUGAAGAAUAUGACGGUAACUCAUGAAUAAGCACCGGCUAACUACGUGCCAGCAGCCGCGGUCAUACGUAGGGUGCAAGCAUUAUCCGGAGUGACUGGGCGUAAAGAGUUGCGUAGGCGGUUAGUAAAGCGAAUAGUGAAACCUGGUGGCUCAACCAUACAGACUAUUAUUCGAACUCACUAACUCGAGAGUGGUAGAGGUAACUGGAAUUUCUUGUGUAGGAGUGAAAUCCGUAGAUAUAAGAGGGAACACCAAUGGCGUAGGCAGGUUACUGGACCAUUUCUGACGCUAAGGCACGAAAGCGUGGGGAGCGAAC
rnacentral:rRNA from 1 species